GACAUCAGGAGGUUAGUGCAAUGGCAUAAGCCAGCUUGACUGCGAGCGUGACGGCGCGAGCAGGUGCGAAAGCAGGUCAUAGUGAUCCGGUGGUUCUGAAUGGAAGGGCCAUCGCUCAACGGAUAAAAGGUACUCCGGGGAUAACAGGCUGAUACCGCCCAAGAGUUCAUAUCGACGGCGGUGUUUGGCACCUCGAUGUCGGCUCAUCACAUCCUGGGGCUGAAGUAGGUCCCAAGGGUAUGGCUGUUCGCCAUUUAAAGUGGUACGCGAGCUGGGUUUAGAACGUCGUGAGACAGUUCGGUCCCUAUCUGCCGUGGGCGCUGGAGAACUGAGGGGGGCUGCUCCUAGUACGAGAGGACCGGAGUGGACGCAUCACUGGUGUUCGGGUUGUCAUGCCAAUGGCACUGCCCGGUAGCUAAAUGCGGAAGAGAUAAGUGCUGAAAGCAUCUAAGCACGAAACUUGCCCCGA
rnacentral:rRNA from 9 species